rnacentral:rRNA from 1 species
CCGGGGGGAUGACGGAGCGGCGAACGGGUGGGUAACACGUGGGCAACCUGCCCUCAGCUCUGGGACAACUCCGGGAAACCGGGGCUAAUACCGGAUACGACUUCCUGCGGCAUCUCGGGAAGUGGAAAGUUUUUCGGCUGAGGAUGGGCCCGCGGCCUAUCAGCUUGUUGGUGGGGUAAUGGCCUACCAAGGCGACGACGGGUAGCCGGCCUGAGAGGGCGACCGGCCACACUGGGACUGAGACACGGCCCAG